rnacentral:misc_RNA from 1 species
GCAGAAAAAAGUGAAGCGUAAUUGCAUGUCAUUUCAACGAUUGCAAAAAGGCGUGUAGAAAAUUAAAAUAAUGGCCGAUGCUAAUAAUUUAAACAACUUGUCGAAUGCCGAACUGCGUUUUCAAAUGUUGGCACAGGAAUGGCCGAAUAUAUACACCACCCAGGCACCGGCCGCACAUCAUUGAAAAUGGCGGCAUUAUGCGCAAUGGAUCUGUCGAAGGCACCAAAUUCGCGCAACCUGCAGCCCUGUCACACUUGAUUUAUGGCUGGUUUCGCCUUCCUGCAUUAUGCUUGGCCUAUAAAGCAGUAUAUAUUACAAUAAUUGAAGUUUACACAUACUACCGGAGUGAUAGCCAGAGACAAGCGCUGUAAGGCGCACACAUUGGAUUUCAACUCCUCUUUGUUCCAGUCAGUCGUGCUUCACAUAGUAGCCCUGCUCACUGGUGCUCAUAUUGAUGGUCCCGAUCGCAAUGAAUUUGCACCUGCUUUAGCCGCUUAGCUACUCAAAACAGCUGAAGAAGGAUUCAAGCAUCCUACUCCACCGCCUCUCAUCUGCAUAGGGCGCUCCGUGCAUGGAUUACCUCGAAGUCGAGCGUAGAAUAGUAUGUGCCGAUAUGUCGCUGCGGACUAUAUGGAUCGGUGGACCCAGCACCAUCAUUGGCGACAUUGCCGCUCACGUUCAUAGCUUUGGAUGCACAUGGAACAUCGGAACAAGGACGCAGCCCAAUUUAAGCACUGGAACAAUAUGCAACAUAAAAUCAUUGCAUACUUUUGUGGUGUGCGGAAAAGCAUAGCCGUAUAUUUUCGAUGAAUACUUUAGGGCAUAUUUAUUAAUUGUCAAAUUGAAAUUAAUUUCAUUAUCCAUAAGCAGGAUCUAUGUGAGCUUCCAUUAUUAUGUAUUAAACUGUUCUUUGUAACGAGAAACCAAUAAAUAAAAAUCGAACGGCUUUUGGCCAUUA